rnacentral:rRNA from 1 species
UACGUAGGGGGCUAGCGUUGUCCGGAUUUAUUGGGCGUAAAGAGCGUGUAGGCGGCCAGGUAGGUCUGAUGUGAAAACUCGAGGCUCAACCUCGAGACGUCGGCGGAAACCAUCUGGCUAGAGUCCGGAAGAGGAGAGUGGAAUUCCCGGUGUAGCGGUGAAAUGCGCAGAUAUCGGGAAGAACACCCGUGGCGAAGGCGGCUCUCUGGGACGGUACUGACGCUGAGGCGCGAAAGCGUGGGGAGCAAACGGG